CCCAGGUCCUUCCCUGUGUCUCCAGCCAGGUUGGAUAUUUGUUUGCCACCGCGGCAAAUUAGUAAGAUUACUGUAGUAGCAGUGGCCAUGCAUUUGGAUUCACUUGCCUGUGCACUGGGCCCAUGUAGGUCCGUAAAGAACAGCUGGCCACAAACUGUUAUAUGGUUCUAUGUGACUGGAGAUGCCCUGAACAUCGGGUGGCAGCCAACAUACGAGGCUGUUCUGUUUCUGGGUUUCAUUUCAUAUUGUCUUGACUCUGUUCAUGUGCUGUCUGCGACCGUUCUCCCUGUGCUUGGGCAACGCUGGUUCAGUGGUUCCGUUGAUGGGGGUGGUUUGGGCAGCUCCGGUCUCUCCAUUUGGCCCUGCUGUUCCGAAGCUUGGUGUGGAGUGGAGGUCUUUUGUGAAGCACUAGAGCAAAUAUCCCGUAAUGCCACACAUGCAAGAUGGCCAUUAGGAAACCCUGCAGUAUCUCAGUUCUGCAUUCGCCACAUGCUCUGAUUGUGCGUGCAGCUGGCUCUCUCAGAGAAAACCCACAUCCUUUCCUCAGACUUACUCAUAACUGACUUCAAAAGGUGUCAUUUCGAUUGAAUUGAAACAGAAGAAACAUACCCAGACAUAGCCAGAGCUAUUUUUCAGUUUAUCAAAUCUCAUCUGCCACUGAUUAAAAUCGCCAUCACAGCCACAAGCCCAGGUCAUCAAAGGAAUUCUUAAGGGUCUUGAUCUCCCACCUUGGUUGACUUAGCUGUGUGGCAUGGAGCAUUGGCCUGCUGGAAAAAAACAAUCCUCAGAGUUUUGUCAGAGCAGAAGGU